rnacentral:rRNA from 1 species
GAUGAACGCUGGCGGUAUGCUUAACACAUGCAAGUCGAACGGGGUGCAUAGUCACCUAGUGGCGGACGGGUGAGUAACGCGUGAGAAUCUGGCCUCAGGUCCGGGACAACCACGGGAAACGGUGGCUAAUACCGGAUGUGCCAUAUUGGUGAAAGAUUAAUUGCCUGAGGAUGAGCUCGCGUCUGAUUAGCUAGUUGGUGGGGUAAAGGCUUACCAAGGGGACGAUCAGUAACUGGUCUGAGAGGAUGACCAGUCACACUGGGACUGAGACACGGCCCAGACACCUACGGGAGGCAGCAGUGGGGAAUUUUCCGCAAGGGGCGAAAGCCUGACGGAGCAAUACCGCGUGAGGGAGGAAGGCUCUUGGGUUGUAAACCUCUUUUCUCAGGGAAGAAGAAUGACGGUACCUGAGGAAUCAGCAUCGGCUAACUCCGUG